rnacentral:rRNA from 1 species
AUGUGGAAGAACACCAGUGGCGAAAGCGGCUUGCUAGAUCGUAACUGACGUUGAGGCUCGAAAGUAUGGGUAGCAAACGGGAUUAGAUACCCCGGUAGUCCAUACCGUAAACGAUGGGUGCUAGUUGUUAAGAGGUUUCCGCCUCCUAGUGACGUAGCAAACGCAUUAAGCACCCCGCCUGAGGAGUACGGCCGCAAGGCUAAAACUUAAAGGAAUUGACGGGGACCCGCACAAGCGGUGGAGCAUGUGGUUUAAUUCGAAGAUACGCGAAAAACCUUACCAGGUCUUGACAUACCAAUGAUCGCUUUUGUAAUGAAAGCUUUUCUUCGGAACAUUGGAUACAGGUGGUGCAUGGUCGUCGUCAGCUCGUGUCGUGAGAUGUUGGGUUAAGUCCCGCAACGAGCGCAACCCUUGUUAUUAGUUGCCAGCAUUUAGUUGGGCACUCUAAUGAGACUGCCGGUGAUAAACCGGAGGAAGGUGGGGACGACGUCAGAUCAUCAUGCCCCUUAUGACCUGGGCAACACACGUGCUACAAUGGGAAGUACAACGAGUCGCAAACCGGCGACGGUAAGCUAAUCUCUUAAAACUUCUCUCAGUUCGGACUGGAGUCUGCAACUCGACUCCACGAAGGCGGAAUCGCUAGUAAUCGCGAAUCAGCAUGUCGCGGUGAAUACGUUCCCGGGUCUUGUACACACCGCCCGUCAAAUCAUGGGAGUCGGAAGUACCCAAAGUCGCUUGGCUAACUUUUAGAGGCCGGUGCCUAAGGUAAAAUCGAUGACUGGGAUUAAGUCGUAACAAGGUAGCCGUAGGAG